rnacentral:rRNA from 1 species
CGUGUAGGCGGGAAAGUAAGUCAGAUGUGAAAGCCCAGAGCUUAACUUUGGGAUUGCAUCUGAAACUACUUUUCUUGAGUACUGGAGAGGGAAGCGGAAUUCCUAGUGUAGCGGUGAAAUGCGUAGAUAUUAGGAGGAACACCAGUGGCGAAGGCGGCUUCCUGGACAGAGACUGACGCUGAGACGCGAAAGCGUGGGGAGCAAACAGGAUUAGAUACCUGGUAGUCC